GAGACACCCUUCUGGGGCAAGACUUGCUUCAGUGGGGCUUUGGUGCUCACUGAGUCCACCCCCUGAUUGUGUCCCU
rnacentral:pre_miRNA from 1 species